UCUGUUUGGGGAGCUAACACAUGCAGUCGACGGUAACAGGAAGCAGCUUGCUGCUUUGCUGACGAGUGGCGGACGGGUGAGUAAUGUCUGGGAAACUGCCUGAUGGAGGGGGAUAACUACUGGAAACGGUAGCUAAUACCGCAUAACGUCGCAAGACCAAAGAGGGGGACCUUCGGGCCUCUUGCCAUCAGAUGUGCCCAGAUGGGAUUAGCUAGUAGGUGGGGUAACGGCUCACCUAGGCGACGAUCCCUAGCUGGUCUGAGAGGAUGACCAGCCACACUGGAACUGAGACACGGUCCAGACUCCUACGGGAGGCAGCAGUGGGGAAUAUUGCACAAUGGGCGCAAGCCUGAUGCAGCCAUGCCGCGUGUAUGAAGAAGGCCUUCGGGUUGUAAAGUACUUUCAGCGGGGAGGAAGGCGAUGCGGUUAAUAACCGCGUCGAUUGACGUUACCCGCAGAAGAAGCACCGGCUAACUCCGUGCCAGCAGCCGCGGUAAUACGGAGGGUGCAAGCGUUAAUCGGAAUUACUGGGCGUAAAGCGCACGCAGGC
rnacentral:rRNA from 1 species